AACACAUUCUCCUCUCCUUCCCUGUUCCAAUUCUUUUUCUGGUUGCUUUUUUUCUUUCCUUUAUUUUUUCUUGAUGCUACCGUUUUCUGGCCUAAAAACAUGCAUCAGAUUUUACUUCCUCAUAUGAACUGCACCUGACAAUUUGUGUCAAUUUUUUCCCAGUCUGUUAUAUCAGUUCUUUCAUUUUCCCUGUUCUACACUCUACCCAAACUAAGGUCCCAACGCUGCUCUUUAUACCUACAUCAUUUGUUACCAACCAGCUCUUCCUUCUUUCCCCCAGAUAUAUGACAUUCACAUUGGACUAUAUUCUCUGGUUCUCUAUUGGACUGUAUCCUCUGGUUCUAAAUUGUAGCAUCUCUCUCCUAAUAAAUUAAAAUCUGACUGAGAGCAGAACCCAUGUUUUAUAGUGAUCU
rnacentral:lncRNA from 1 species